GCUACCUAUCUUAUUUUUCGCUCAUUGUAAUAGUAAUAAUUUAAAGGAACUUUUUGUAACUAGUUAGUAGUGUUGCUGUAGUCGUUUUUUUAAGGGUAUGCGUUAUACGGAUGCCUUUUAAAAUAGUGCAAACGACCGAAAGGGAUGAAGGAAUGUUCUACGGAACUUCUUGACUCACACAACAACCGAUUGUACUGUAUUUUGUGUAUGAGGUGUAUCAUUUUUUGGAACACGUUUUGCAUUUCUUAAACCAAAUAUAAAGUUUGAAUAUUC